rnacentral:lncRNA from 1 species
AACCUUUUGAUGUUAUCCACCUCUCUACUUUCUGGCAAUUAGAGAUCGCAAUUGUUGUCAAGCUCGGCGGGAGACCCUCCUCUCCAAAACAAUCCAUUUCUGGGCAAUCUGAGAUAUACAGUGUCUUGAGAUUUGGAAGGGCUGCCAGUGGAAACAACGUCAGUGAAUUACACUUGCUCACAACUACCUCCGUUAGGGACUUGUGUUGCAGUUGCUCUGAGAAUGUUAAUUUUGAACAAUCCCAUAUUCUAAGAAAUUGUAAUGAAUCGGGCAAACAAUCUCCUGAAAUUGAUAUGGCUGACCUACACUGCUGGAUUUCCAAACGUUGGAGACACUGCGAUUGGACGUGGGGCAGGCACUCCAAUAUGGACUUCGCCAGCUGGGUUUUUUUAAUUAAUAUCUUGUGCGGUGCUGCAUUCCCGAAGAACACAGAAUCCUUUACAGUUAAUUGGUGAAGCUUGGAAGCCCUCGGAAGUGAACACGCAAGCUCUUCGCAUCUAUCAAUGGUAAGUUCCUCCAGAGCCGGGAGGUGAGCUGGAAGAUCUCCACUUAACACCGGACAGUCUUCUAUUAAAAGGCUUUUAAGUUUCAGAAAUCCAUCAAACUCAUCAGGAAUAUGCCACUCCCGCCAGCGUGGCAUAUCAAAAAAUUCCAGAGUUUGAAGAGAUCUGAAGGGUGUCCCCUGAUGAGAUGAUUCAGCGUUGUUGUAAAACUCACCACCAAUUCUCUCCAACACAUCAAGUCCCCGUAUCUCCAGAUGCUGCAGAGAGGGUAACUGUCCCAGUGAAGGAACCUGACCACAAUUCUUACAAUCCUUCAAACUCAAUUCGGUUAAAUUGGAGUAGCAAGGAAGGCCUAACCAAUCAGGGAAUAUUUCACCCCUGAAACCCACAAUGGAUAACCCUUUCAAGUUUUGGUGAGGUUGUAACUUGUCAAGUAUAUCUCUUGCAGUUUCAACAUCAACAAUAUCACCUUUUGGAAGCCAUUUCAAUUCUAAAGCGUUGAUGUGCUUCUUGUUACCUAUCUUGGCCUCCAAAGCUUCACGGCUGUUGUUCACAUUCUCUAACUUGGAGAUGCAAAGUGAGCCAUGAAGGUUGUCAAGUGCUCCCAAUUCUCUUGUCCCGUUCUCCUCGUGCUUUCCCACAAUAUAACCACUUAAGAAGUUCAGAUGCUUUAACUUGCUCAUUCCCCUCGGCAUCUCUUUUAAAGAAUCAGAACCUCUGAUAUCAAGAUGGCGCAGGUUCACAAGAUCUUCCAUACGGCUAGGAAGCAUCUCCAGUUUCUUACAAUAACUCAACUUCAACGUUUGGAGAUUGUAUAAUUUACACAAUGACUCAGGCAAUGUCAAAAUAGAUGUGUAAGAGAGAUCCAAAUAAUGCAAAUGGAUCAGUUUAUCAAUUGAAUUCGGCAAUGACUCGAUAGAAAAACAUUUAAAUGACAAAACUCUUAAACACCUCCUUUGUAAUUGUAAAAGCCAAGAAUCACUUUCUAAAUUAAUUAAUUUUUGAGGAUGAAGCAAAUGUACAUUUAGAAAUGUUCUCAUAUGGAUUGCUCCCUUAUAGGUCUCUCCAAGUCUUAAGAUUGAAUCAUGACGAUUUACCAUAUAUGAUAAGUGACGAGUUUCACUGCAAAUUUUUUUUGGGUCUCCAAAUUCUCUGACUCUGAAAUAGAACUUUCCAGCAAAAUAUGUUGCUAAAUCAUGCACGAGAUCAUGCAUUACGAAGAAGCUAACAUUUUUACUAGAGGGUUGGAAAAAUGACCUUGCAACUAAUUCAUCAAAAUAUGCACGACCAAUCUUUUCUAAUGUGUAAUUUUCUAUUGGUUGUACAAAAUCUUGAGCCAUCCACAGCAAGAUUAAUUCAUCUUUGUCAAAUUGAUAAUCUUGGGGAUAUAACGAGCAAUAAACAAAACACCGCUUUAAAUUUGAAGGAAGAUAGUGAUAACUAACUCUUAAUGCAGCAACAAUCUUACUCUCAUCUUCCGGAAGCUCCCAAAUUUCACUGUUCAGUAUAUUCUCCCAAUCCUCUACUUUAUCCUUACUACGCAAUAAACCCCCAAGUGUCUUCACAGCCAAAGGUAAUCGCUUACAUUUUUCAACAAUUUUUUUACCAAUUUGUUCUAAGAUUGCAUAUUGUCUAGAACUAGUAGAAAUAGAUGAAUGUUUCAAAAACAAAGACCAGCAAUCUUUGUCGGACAAUGUAUCUAGUUUAUAAUGUAGAUUUGUAGUUGACACUACAGAAUCAACAUUUUUAUUACGAGUAGUUAAAAGAAUUUUACUUCCUUUAUUUCCACUCAAAAAAGGUUUCAGAAAAUUAUCCCACAAAUUUUGCUGAUUAUCCCAAACAUCAUCUAAAACUACCAAGAAUGUCUUUUCUGUUAACUUUUCCUUCAAUUCUGUUUGAAUUGAAUUCAAGUUAACCUUAUUACAAGGAGAAGCUAUGUCUUCCAUUAUAGACUUGGUAACAUUAACAGGAUCAAAUUUUGUUGCAACACACGCCCAUGCUUUAAUGGCAAACUUCUCCUUCACUCUGGCAUCAUUGUAAACUAACUGAGCCAAAGUAGUCUUUCCAAUUCCACCAAUACCUUCUAUAGAGAUCACAGACAAUAUAUCAUCACAAUUUUCAUCUAAUAACAAUUUUAUGAUGGCCUCCUUGUCAUCAUUCCUGCCAUAUAUAUCAGAACUUUCAAUCAGGGAUGAUUGAAUUCUCCAUGACAUGUCCUCCAGAUCUUUGGCAACCCCUUGUUUCAGAUCAAGAUCAUCUUUCUCUUCAACAAUAGACUCUAGUUUGUCAACUAUGUCUUGCAUGCUAGUCACUACCCCCAUCUCAUCAUCAUCACUAUCUUCCAAAAUUGAAUCAACAUAGUGAGACCAGGAAGAAGAGUUACCUGGAUCUCUCUGAGUGGGAGUGGGAGUGGCAGUGGCAGUGGCAGCUUUAGUGGAGAGUUCAUCGAGCAAGUCAUCAGCCAUAUAAAGAGCAUCUUGGAGAUCAACAAGCCACUUGUUGACUUCUUGGUCUCGGAUCUGCUUCUGCUCAGCAUCAUCAAGCACAGGUCGAGUGGCACGGAGACUCGCUUUCAGUCUUCGAAACAACUUCUGGUCAGCUAACUUCUUUGCUUCUGGGGUUGAGUUGACAUCGAGUGAAGACAGCUUGUUCAAAACAGCAUCAACAAAGGAAGAGAGAUAAGCUCUACCCCCAAGUUUUGCAGCCAUGAUUGAGACUCAAGUUCAGGAUAUGAUCAGAUCACAACAAAGAAAAGAAAGAAAGAAAAGUUUGGAUUAAUGUAUUUUAUAACACAAUCAACAAUUCAGCCCCUCAUAUAAAAUUAUAUGUGAUUCCUUUUUCCUUUUUUAAUUUCUGCUUCAUUUUAUAAGGUUUCACUUUGAGAUUGGCAAUCUUGAAAUAAUUAUAAGGAAUUGUUUAUUUCAAAGAUUUAUCAUUUUAUUGGUCAUGAAAAAUAAUCAUAAUAUAUUAGAACAGUUUAAUGUAGAUAUAAUAUUAAUGAUUGACUUAUAGAAUAAACUAAAAAUGUGCUACGUGGCACAGCUAUUUUAGUUAGUUAGGAGAAGUACUUCAAUUUUUUAAAAAAUAUUUUUACAGGAGUUCUGUUACAUAUUAAAAAAUAAACUAAAAAUAUAAAUGGUCUAAAAAUAUUUUAUUAAUUAAGGAUUGUCUACUCUUAGAGAUAGAAAAUUGAUAAUACAGAUUCUGAGGUGAUUUCGUUCACACUUCUUUUUAUUUUUUAUUUAUAAAAUAAAACCACCUGCAAAUAAAAUAAUAAUUUGAUAGAUAAUAAAACAUUGAUUAUAAAGAGCUCUUGUCUCGUCUACAUAAAACUUUAGUAAAAGGAAUCAUAAUGAAAUUCCAGCUAUGGUUGUUUAGAAUUAUUUGUGACAGUGGAUGUUGAACCAAGGAUUUUUUACUAAAUGUAAAAGAUCCUUAGCCACUAAGAGAAGGUCAUUAAUUGAUAAUUUAAUAUAUUUUUUUUUUUACAAAAAAUCAGUUCUAUUUUAAAUUAUCAUCCGAUUAUAUAAUAAUGUUGCAUCUUUUUGGUAGGGUCGAAUACAGAAAGUAGAACAAAAUGAGUGCAGAAAGGAAGAAUUUCAAGACUUUAUGAGAAAGAUGAUAUGAAAUUGAGUAACCUCAUUCAUUGAUUACACACUAGAUACAAGGGGAACCUUGUAUAUGUGAUGGAACUAGCUAUACAGAAAGAGAUCCAAAACAGACUCAAACAGGAAGCUUAAAACAGAGACUAACACCCUGACUUACUAUAUAUAAUAGAGAAUGGGGGUUAUAAACAAACUCUUGUUCCUAAAUUUCCCCCUUAAUACUCAGGGUAUUCCUUGAGAAAACUGUUUGGACUAAAACUUUACAAAGACAAUUUGACACACUUUCUGUGAGCAAUGAUGAUCAGUUGAGGGAAUGUGAGACAAAAACAAUUUAUUCUUAAUGAUUUAAUCCCUCUCACUAAGAAAAAAGGAAAGAAUAUGAUUUGAGAUGUUCAGAUCUAUUGUGUAAGAAUGGAUUGUGUGCUAUUAACCACUUCCCAAUGGCAUUCUCACGAAUCACAAACCUCCUCAACAUUCUUAGCCUUUAACCAAUUGCUGCUAUAAUCAACCUUGACGCAUCAGCCUUCUUUUUCCACCUUGGGUUGAGAAACGUUGUCUUCAUAUUGUGUUUGAAAAAAGGAAAGAGAAAAAAAAUUCAGCCCAAAAAUUUCAGUAUAAUAGAGUAAUUAGCUUGGAGUAUCAGUUAGAUUUCCAAAGAGGUUCAAGUAAUUCGCAGGACAUAUUAGAAAAGAUACAGGGACAACUGAUUCAAGUACCUACUUUUUCACUACCAAAGAGGCUGCAUGUUGUGCAUUUCAAAUACUGUGCAUUCUCAUGUGUAGCAAAAGCAACAACUUGAAUGCAGAAGUUGUCCCUUUGCUCCUUUUGGAAAAGCUCUAUGAGGAGGUAUUCCAUGUAUGUAAGGAAAGAUAUGGGACAUUAACAGAAAGCAAGAGUAGACCAUACCUCUUCUUUAAUCGACUUUGUCACAAAGACUUUGUCGCAAAUGGAGAGUUCAGAUUUAGAUCCAGCCUGCGGUUGGACUUAGAAAUCCAAGUUACACUAGUUGAAUGAAAGGACAGUUAGAUCAAACCCAAGAGCAUUAUAACAACAGUAAACAAUUCAAUUAUUCUGUGUUGAGUAAUGUAUUAAAAAUUUUCUCAAAAUGAGAAUAAUUUUCGAAGAGCACUUACCAUAACUACCAUCAUAUGAUUGAUUUUAUUGUGAACUGUAUUUAGGCUUUUCCAAUAGGCCAACCCAAAGAAGAGACAUGACACGAAAAUUUUGGCAAUAUUUAAGUGAAAAUAUCUUGGUGACAAUCUUGCUUGGUUGAGCCAAAUUGAAGAGAUUAGCUAAAGCAUCGGCCAGUUUAUAUUCAUAUUUGAUUCAUUCUCUGUCCGGAAAACAAAUAAAUUACAGAACUUUUUAUGGUUGUCAUCAUAAAAGUUAGGAGUUGAAUCAUAGAAGGUUGCGAAGAUAUGAAUUAGGACAUUACUCGGUAUUUUGCUAUCACUAACGUGUAGCAUGAUGGAAAGUUCAGCUAUGUAAGAACUUUGAUUGCUAGGAGGCAAAAUGUAAAGUAUUUUGAAGAACACUGAUGGAAUAAAAGAUCUUGGCUCCUGAAUAAUAUAACCAUGGUGAAAAAAAUGAAGAUAAUAAAUAGACCAAUGUAUUAGAAAACUUGGGUAACUGCUACUGUAAUGCAACUGAAUGAAAUUUAUAAUUGAAUGCAUAGAAUGAUGUUAGUACCUAAACAGAAAACAAAUUCGUGAAGUAUCAACCCAUCAGCCAAUAAUUGGUGGAGCAUUUACCAUUACCUAACUAAUCUUCCAUAAAAAAAGAAAACCGCAAGAAUGUUGGGCAGACAAAUUUUGAUUGAAGAUAACAAAGUGAGAUUAGCAACACAUAAUAGAUUUCGAUCUGGUCAAAUGAGGGAGAUUUAAUGCAAGAGUAUGCGGAAAAACAUAGAAUCUUGUCAAAUAUUUAAAAUUGGAGCACCUUCAAAAUCUAUAAAGAAUUGAAAUUUGAUUACAUAAGUAACGUAAGCCAUUAUUUUUCAAUUUACAUUUGCCAUAACUUUCAGAUUGAAUUUGUGGGUCUUUCAUCUCUUCAAGAACCUUGGUUUAAUCAAUAUGGACUAAAGAUGAAAAAACCAGAGAAGCAACAUCCAACAUAUACCAGAAUUCUAUGAGAUAAACAGAGUCCAGAGAUUAGGAAAACAAAAAGUAAAUUUUAUGAACUCAAAUCUGACAAAAAUAGAAAGCUGAAAUUCAAUGGCAUAACUAAAGUAUGUUUUGUUUUCGUAAUUCGAAAACUGGUAUGAGUUUGCAAAUCAAAGAGAAUAAUGUAUUUCAUAAAGUACUAACGCACCUCCUCCAUAACAUAUUAAUAGACAGAAUCCCUGAAGAAAUGGUGGAAAAUCAGAAUGAACGAAACUGAUCCUCCUAGUCUGCAAUCAACCAUAGAAAUUGUGAGUGAAACGGUAGCUAAGGUAUAGAUAAAUGGCUCAGAUCAAAGAAUGAAAAAAUUAAGGGGGGAAAAAUUGGUUUGGCAUAUUAACAAGGGAAUGAGAAAGUUUGGUGCAAAGAAUUAGCAUUGUAAUUGGAGGGCGUGCAGUGAGUUUAGGUAAGAUGAGAGCAAAAACAAUUACCUGUGUCCUAAGUUUCAAACUGAAUCCGUGGAUCAUUCAUCUCUUCCAGCUUACGCCUCAAAGGACAUUCUCCCUCAAAUCUGAGUUUUAGUAUGGAGGCAGGCAGGUUUUCUUGUGUGAUAUUCUCCAGCUUUGGACAGUCUUCAAUUGCUAAUGUUUGAAGGGAAGUGAGAUGUUGAAGUCCCUUGCAGUCUAGCGUCUCCAGAUUUGCAAAGUCAUACAGUUGUAGAGACUGAAGGGAAGCAGGAAGGCAGCCCUCUCUUGGGAACGACUUAACUUCAUUCCACUCUAUAAGGAAAAGAUGGAUAAGGCCUUCAGUCUGCAAACCGUUUGAUGUUAUCCACCUCUCUAGUUUCUUGCAAUCGUAGAUCCUAAGAGUUGUCAAGCUUGACGGCAGGCAGUCCUCUCCAAAAGGUUCCAUUUCUUGGCAUUUCUCUACACACAGCUCUUCUAGGUGGGGCGCAGCCAGCCUUAGCGCUGGCAUGGAUACUAAACCGGGGCACUCUGAGAUUUGUAAGACACGGAGACUUGGAAGGGCCCCCAAUGCAAAUGACGUCAGUGAAUCACACUUGUACACAAGUAUCUCCAUUAGCGACUUGUGUUGCAGUUGCUCUGAGAAUGUUAAUUUUGGACACAUAGCGAUUUGCAGAUAUUGUAACGAAUCAUGCAAAUAAUCUCCUGAAAUUGGUAUUGCCGACCAACAAUUCACGAUUCUCAAAGUUUGGAGAUAUGGCGAUUGGAUGUGGGGCAGGCACUCCAAUACGGACUUGGCUAGCUGCGUCUCUAAAAUUACUACCUUGUGCGGUUCCGCCUUCUCCAUAGAAGUCGCCGUACCCGUUACAAGUAAUUGGCAAAGCUUGGGAGCUCUCGGCAGUGAACAGGCGAGCUCUUCGCAUCCACCAAUGACAAGUUCCUCCAGAGCUGGAAGGUGAGCUGGCAGAUCUCCGGUUAACACCGGACAGUCUACUAUCAAAAGCCUUUCAAGCUUAGGAAAACAAUCAAACUCAUCAGGAACAUGCCACUCUCGCCACCGGUGCAUUUCACCAAGCACCAGUCUNNNNNNNNNNNNNNCUGAAUUGAUUUAUCGUUCUUGUAAAACUCGCAACCAAUUCUCUCCAGCCCAUCAAGUUCACAAAUAUACAGUUCCUGCAGAGAGGGUAACUGUCCCAGUGAAGGGAGCUCACAACAGUUUUUACAACGAACCACAAUCAGUUUUGUAAUAUUGGAGCAGCAAGAAAGGCCUAGGCCUAACCAAUCGGGGAAUAUUUCACCCCUAUAACCAUCAAUUAACAACUCUUUCAAGUUCCGGUGAGGUUGUAACUUGUCAAGUAUAUCUCUUUCACUUUCAACAUCAACAUUAUCACCAUCGCCAUGUGGAAGCCAUUUCAGUUUUAAAAUGUUGAUGUGCUUCUUGUUGCCCAUCUUUGCCUCCGAAGCUUCUCCGCUAUUGUUGACAUUCUCCAAGUUGGAAAUGCAGAAUGAGCCAUGAAGAUUGUCAAGUGUUCCUAAUUCUUUUAUCCCAUUCUCCUCAUGCUUUCCGACAAUGUAGUCUCCUAAUAAAUUCAAGUGUUUUAACUUACUCAUUCUCUUUGGCAUCUCUUUCAAACACGAAGCUCCUUCAAUAUCAAGGUGGCGCAAGUUCACAAGAUCUUGCAUGUUGCUAGGAAGCUUCUCUAAUUUAUAACAUCUCCUCAACUUCAAGGUUUGGAGAUUGUAUAAUUUACACAAUGACUCAGGCAAUCUCACAACAGGUGUAAAAGUGAGAUCUAAAUAACGCAAAUGGAUUAAUUCUCCUAUGGAAUCAGGUAAUGAUAGAAUAUUAAAGCCUUUAAAUGAUAAAACUCUUAGGCAUCUCAAUUGCAGCAGCAACAGCAAAUCACUUUCACCACAAAUUGAAUGCAAAUGACACUGUAGAAAUGUUCUCAUAUGCAUUGCUCCAUUAUAAGCCUCUCCAAUUAUUCUUGAGACUAGAUCGCCAAGAUUUUCAGUAUAUGACAAAUGACGAGUUAUGCUGAAAAUCUUUUGUGGGUUUCCAAUUUCUUUGACUUUGAAAUGGAAUUUCCCAGCGAAAGAUGUUGCUAGAUCAUGCAUGAGAUCAUGCAUUACGAAUAAGUUAAUAUCAGUACUAGACGGUUGAAAAAAUGAUCUUGCAACUAAUUCAUCAAAAUAUGCACAACCAAUAUUUUCUAAUGUGUUGUUUCCCAUUGGUUGUAAAAGAUCUUCAGCCAUCCAUAGCAACAUUAAUUCAUCUUUGCCAAAUUGAUGAUCCUCAGGAUAUAAUGAGCAAUAAACAAAGCACCGCUUUAAAUGUGAAGGGAGGUAGUGAUAACUAACUCUUAAUGCAGGAACAAUCUUACUAUCAUCUUCUGAAAGUUCCCAAAUUUCACUAUCUAAUAUAUUCUCCCAAUCUCCUUCAUUAUACUUAUUGCGCAAUAAACCCCCCAGUGUCUUCACAGCCAAAGGUAAGCCCUUACAUUUUUUAACAAUUUUUCUACCAAUUUGUUCUAGAGUUGUAUAUUGUG